CUGUUUCACACGGAUAUACAACAAAAUAGGGAAGAAAAGUCUACCGCAACUUCCGUUUUAUCUUUAAGUGUCAAUAUGACAUGCACACUGCGUCUCACUGCUGUGCAUUUUGGAUCUAUGAUGUGUGCGAGCUAUUCUUGUGUAUAACCCAUGGAGUUUCUAGACCACCAAGGGUCGCAUAAAGUAUACGGAUAAAUGAAGUUCAACAAAAAAGUUGCUCAGACAGGCUGAUGAGAGUGUUUUUCAGCUAGAAGAGGAAUCUGUAUAAAUGGAGAUUUGAACAGACCAAACAUAUGAGGAAACAUGGGCAAGUGACAUGGACUGCAGCUGUUUUCAUUAAGGUUAUUUUAAUGAAUAUUACCUGAAGGUGGAGGAACAAAUUUAUUUCAAUUCAGUGAUGAUUUUAAACCAGCAAGAGAGUAAAUGGAUUUCAGGAUAGGGGUGUUCAUUUUAAUAUCGCAGCCCAUUUAUAAAAGUGAAAGGGAAUGCAGUACAUCAGCAUAUUGAAAACAUUGUGGCUCUCUGGAGAAAUUGGAUAAGGAGCCGUCACAGCCUCUCGCAGAAUCUUCAAAACCCGACACAGACAAAGAAACAUAAAAUGCGUAUGGUGAAAACAAAGAAAAAGAAAAUACGACUUCCCUGGGGGGAGAAGAAAGCUUUGGUCUGCCACUUUUGUGAGCGUAGGAAAUGCUCAUCUGGGGCCUUCAGACCGUAUUGUGCUGUCAGUAACUGAUCAUGCAAAGACUUGCAGAUGAAAAAAUGUUGAUCACCUAUGAUGAGCGUCUGUCUCUGAUGACUCGAUAGACAUUUAAUUCCCACACUGCAAUCAGAAUGUGGGUUUGGAGCUGAAACUCCAUUUAAAUCUCUAUUUAAUGUGGCCUGGUAUGGCUUAUUACACAAGGCAUCUAUGCAUUCAACUUUCAUGUU